rnacentral:rRNA from 1 species
GAUGAACGCUGGCGGCGUGCCUAACACAUGCAAGUCGAACGAAGCACCUUACCUGAUUCUUCGGAUGAAAGUUUGGUGACUGAGUGGCGGACGGGUGAGUAACGCGUGGGUAACCUGCCCUGUACAGGGGGAUAACAGCUGGAAACGGCUGCUAAUACCGCAUAAGCGCACGAGGAGACAUCUCCUUGUGUGAAAAACUCCGGUGGUACAUGAUGGGCCCGCGUCUGAUUAGCUGGUUGGCAGGGUAACGGCCUACCAAGGCAACGAUCAGUAGCCGGUCUGAGAGGAUGAACGGCCACAUUGGAACUGAGACACGGUCCAAACUCCUACGGGAGGCAGCAGUGGGGAAUAUUGCACAAUGGGGGAAACCCUGAUGCAGCAACGCCGCGUGAGUGAAGAAGUAUUUCGGUAUGUAAAGCUCUAUCAGCAGGGAAGAUAAUGACGGUACCUGACUAAGAAGCUCCGGCUAAAUACGUG